rnacentral:rRNA from 1 species
GAUGAACGCUGACAGAAUGCUUAACACAUGCAAGUCAACUUGAACUUCGGUUUGGGUGGCGGACGGGUGAGUAACGCGUAAAGAACUUGCCUCACAGCUAGGGACAACAUUUGGAAACGAAUGCUAAUACCUGAUAUUAUGAUUAUAUGGCAUCGUAUAAUUAUGAAAGCUAUAUGCGCUGUGAGAGAGCUUUGCGUCCCAUUAGCUAGUUGGAGAGGUAACAGCUCACCAAGGCGAUGAUGGGUAGCCGGCCUGAGAGGGUGAUCGGCCACAAGGGGACUGAGACACGGCCCUUACUCCUACGGGAGGCAGCGGUGGGGAAUAUUGGACAAUGGACCGAGAGUCUGAUCCAGCAAUUCUGUGUGCACGAUGAAGUUUUUCGGAAUGUAAAGUGCUUUCAGUUGGGAAGAAAAAAAUGACGGUACCAACAGAAGAAGUGACGGCUAAAUACGUG